GCUGCAUUAAGAAAAGAAAGGAAAAAGAUGUUAGAACAUUUUUAAGGAAAUUGAAAUAAUUCUCACAAUCAAUAUUGGACUAUAAACAAUAAAUUAUUACCAAUACAAUAACAUGCAAACAGACCUGUCAACCACCUAAAUAAUAGAUACUAUGCGGUAGGUUACCGGUUUUAAGGUAUACCGAGGUUUUAAACAGUCAAGGUUACAAAACCACUAAAAUGGUCUGUGAUACCGUCUCCAAGGUAUGAACUGUAUUUAUACAAAAUUCAUUAAAUCAUUAAGUCAUGUGAUUGAUUUGAUGUUUACAUGUUAUAUACAUUUUGAAAAUAUUAUAUAUAAUAUAAUUUAAAGGCUUUAUUUUUACCUGGCAUUUAAAAAUUACAAAUUUUAGUGUAGCAAUGGCAAUACAGCAAAACUGUAAAACCGUGGUAUUUUUGCUAAAGGUAAUCAUACCGCCAGAAUCUUAUACCGGCCCAUGCCUACUAAGCGGUUGUACCAAGUGUUAGAAACAUCAAGAUUCUCAAAUUUUUAGGGCUAGCGCAAUACCACAGUUUUGGCUAUUCUUCAUGUUCUCUAGGGCAGUUAUUUUGCACCAGUGACAGAAACAGUGACCAAAUAAUUCAUUACCUUAUCUACAUGUGAAGGAAGAUUUUUGGCCUGCACUUUCACAGCUGAUAUUAUAAAAAUCAGCUUAUGACAUUAACAUGUUUCAAGCGUUUUAAUUUACUUUUAUUUGUGAAGUUUAUCUAUCACAUGUGGAGACAUACGCACAUACGAAACGGCAAAAAGACGCUAAAAUCUGGGUUAAGAGCAAAAAACUACCUGCGCCAAUCAGUUUUUGCCAUUUAUGGGCUUUACCCUAUAAAAGAAAACCGUUUUAUGCAUUUAAAUGACCUUACACGUUAUCAGUUUAUUAAGCGUUUAGACUAUGUAGACACAAUGUGCACUAAGAUAAAAAAAUUGGUUAACACGACCACUCGUGGUGGCUUCACUCAGAGGUUGGAGAAGACAACCGGUGGACUAAACAUCAAGCCUCUGCACGAUUCAGGUAAGUGGAAUAAAAUACAUUGUAAAUAAACAUUAUUAAAACAGAUUGUAAAGUCAUUCAUUCAAAACUUGCUAUGACCUAAGCCUAAAUGACUUAAUUUCUUUUUAGAAUUAAGACAACCUUAGCAGGAGAGCCCCAGCAGUAACUUUCUCUCAAGCAGAUGAGCAAUAAGUUGCUUUGUAUGAACACCACCCUAACAAUCAAGUUUUCUACAGUAGUCUGUUAACAGUAGACCAAAGGUAUGAUGAUCAAUUUUAAAUGCAAUAUGGUUGAAAGGUCAGUAAACAAACAACAAAAAGGUAAUUUCUUAAUAGAAUGUCUGUACAUUUUUUGCUUUUGUUACAUAUUUCAUACAUCAAAAUCCUUAAACGUUAAUAAUUAUGUAUUCCAACUUGUUGCAGCUUGACAAAAAUGUAGCUUGAAGGAGAAGGGACAGCUGAGAAACAAAGUCCUGGUACGCAGACGACAAUACUAUAACACUGACAAGAGUAUAAUGAUGAUGGAGACGGAGACACAAGCCAGAGAAAGGGUGGACCAAACACCAGGCCAGAAUUCUGCAUGAGUCAGACUGAGGCUGCGUCCAAAUAUCACUUUGUGCAUCCCAUCGUGCAUCAUGUUCUGGAUGUAAAGCAUGAGACUUUUAAUUGUAUGUUAACAUUUCUACAUUUCUGCAUUAGUUUUAUGUAUUUUGUGAAACAUCUGCAACUGCAACAUUGUGUCGUUUAUUUAGGGACUACUGAAUAAAUAAUACACUUUAAUAAAGCUACAUACUCAAAACCAAGAGCUUUUUUACAGGAGCAAAGAAUUCUGCAUCUAAAAGUUUGAUAUAAGCAAAUGUUCAUUUCAGAGUGUUCAUUUUAUUUACAGAAAAACUUAAAAAUGGUAAAUAUAAAUUUAAAGUAGUUAAUAAAACACAAAUACGUUUUGGUGCAAAUUGCUGGCACUAUCUGGAUUUAAAUUUUUACGCAUGCUAAGUGUGUCCCAUCGGAUGUUAAUUCUACAUGCACGCUUGGGAUCUUCACGCCCACUAAAAUACUUAGGCCAAAUACAAAAAAACGUCAUAGUAGUCUAGUGCAAAGACAACAAGUGUGAACAUUUGGACACAUCCUCAGUUCAGUUCAUGAAGAUCUCUACUAAUGAGCUGAUGAUUUGAAUAAGGUGUGUUAAAUAAGGAAGACAUACAAAAUGUGAAUAGCAGAGGACCUCGAGGAACAAUGUUUAGGAACAGUUACACUGUAUAAAACAUUAACUAAACAGACAAAUUAUUUGUCAUAGCUUCAAUAAACAAAAGAAUGUCACCUGCAUUUUAGUUUCCAGCAUUUUUCCACAAUGAAGCCAAACUGGAAGAAAAUAAACUUCUGCUUUGCAUCUGACAUCAAUUCAGAAACCUGCAAAAAUAAUCACAAGAGAAUGAAGAAUGUUUUAAAUAUACAUAGAAAUAAGCUCUAAAGAGCGGCAUGGUUUACAGUAAAAUUAUGGGGUACUCACACUAUGCAUACUGUAUCAUACCAAAGUAUGUUUUACCUCCAAAGUUUGGUGUGACUAGUGUGAGCGCUCCGUACCUUACUACACUUGGUCUCUGCGACAGUCCAGUUUAGUUCAUGGUAGGGGGGCAAUAUUUUGAAACAUAAAUAUUUUCAAAUUAUUUGCGACCCUUACAAAGACACUAAUUUCCCACAGCCAGCAACAGCACAAUGUUUGUCUGACAUCACAAUCUUACUGUUUUUACAACUUUAUGAUUGUCAACAACUACUACUUUAGACUGAACACCAGUGGGCGGAGCCAACGAUAUAAUGAUGUGCUGUGUCUUUCUGUGGGGGAGGUCAAAUGAAAAUUAAUCUAGCUAGUGACAUCACUACUCCAGCCAUUUUACAUUCGUAAAACAAGAAUGCUGUCUGCAAUUCACUUAUGUUUCCAUGAUUGCAAAAACUUUUAUCGAUGUACAUAUACAAUUGUUUAAGUGUCAUAAUUAAAACAUGCCUAAAUUGGCAGUGGCCCUGUCGAUACAAAACUCAAGUGCAAAUCAUGACACUAAUAUAAACUGUAGUUUUGGCAAUUAUUGUAACAGUUAUCAGAUAUGAAUCGUGUCUUAUGUAAAUAUAAAAAGAGCAGGGAAAAAAAAUGAAUAUAGUAAAAAAAAUCUGAUCUGUGCAUUAAGAUUUGCAAUGUAAAUGCAGUCUUAUUGUGAGAAGAAAACUUGGUUAUUGCUGGAAUCAUGAAUGGUCUGAAUAGGAUUUGAGUUUGUUUACUUGUGAAACUUACCUGCACCACCAUUUACAGAUCCAGUGGGUGCAGAUCAUCAUACAGAUGGUUCAAGUGUGGAUCCACCUAAUAUUCAAGGUUUUCUGUCCUGGGACACUUGGCUAACCAUCAAGAAAGAACACACUCCAGUGGGCAUCCUUUAUCCAUCCAGACCCUCAUACAGAUGGUUGGAGUUUUGAUUCUCCUAAAGUACCAUGCAAGAGCACUCAUUUUCCCUCUUGAGACCAUGGUGUGACCUGCAAGGUCGAAUGGAGACUGUAAACGAGACAAUCUUGGAGUCACCUGCAUUCACUGGUCCAGUUAGCCCAAUUACAGAUGGAGAGUAUAGAAGAGGAUGAUGUCUUUUCUCCAACAUCUUUCUAGACUGAUAAAAGAUCUAGACAGGCUUGAACAAAAGUUAACAGAGGGGCUUAUAUAGAGAAUGGUGAGCAGCUACACAUAAAAGAAGAACAUGGAGAAUCUGCCCAGAGGUGUUAACCAGCAAUGCAGCUAUACAACUAAAUUGAUGCAGGCGGAAACAAUGUGUAAUGCAGCUGCUGCAGAAGAAGAAUCCGUCCGUCUACCACUGAAGGAGACGCGGAAAUUCCUUCCAAGAUGUUCUUUGCCCGAGGAAGCAUUUGAUUAAUUUAAAGAUAUUGUGUUUCUUUGUAUGUUAUAGAAAAACGUUGCUUUUUUUGCAUACACUCGUGUAAAUAUGCAUGUUAUGAAUGUUUUUCUUUUGUCUAAUUUAAAUAAAUUUUACGCAAUCAA